CCAGUAUAUAUCAUGUUUGUGUUUUUUUAACUUCCUGGGGUAUCAAGGAGUCAUACAGCUUUCUGUCAUGGAAAGCUUCCUCAAAGAGCUGAGGAGAGAGCUCUAAUGCUUGACAUUUUUGGAUGGUGUCCUAGUGGAAGGAAAGCUUUAUUCUUCUGAAGGAAGAAAUCUGAAGGAAUAACUGUAUUCUUCUGUGCCUGUGAG
rnacentral:lncRNA from 1 species